GACUCAGUAGCUCAGUUGGAUAGAGCAACUGCCUUCUAAGCAGUCGGUCGUUGGUUCGAGUCCAACCUGAGUCG
rfam:Synechococcus phage ACG-2014e isolate Syn7803C2, complete genome.